rnacentral:misc_RNA from 1 species
AUAAAAAGAAAAUAUAAUUUCUCCUGUAAAAAAAAUAUUAUUAUAUCCUCAUUCUCUCCCUUAUAUAUUUUAAUCAUCAUUUUUUCUCCAUUUCUCUCAAUUUCCCAUCAAUUUAGAGAAAAAUAUUUUAAAUUAAAAUUUCACUUUCUUUCCCUUCCAUUAUCUUCGAUUUUUCCUUCCAUUUGAUGUCCAAACGUCCAAACAAAGAAAUUUAAAGAA